rnacentral:rRNA from 1 species
UACGAAGGGGGCUAGCGUUGCUCGGAAUCACUGGGCGUAAAGCGCACGUAGGCGGCUUUUUAAGUCAGGGGUGAAAUCCUGGAGCUCAACUCCAGAACUGCCUUUGAUACUGAGAAGCUUGAGUCCGGGAGAGGUGAGUGGAACUGCGAGUGUAGAGGUGAAAUUCGUAGAUAUUCGCAAGAACACCAGUGGCGAAGGCGGGUCUCUGGGCCGAUACUGACGCUGAGGAGCGAAAGCGUGGGGAGCGAACAGG